GGGGAUAUAGCUCAGUGGUAGAAUGCAUGCCUUUCAUGAGACCCUGGGUUCAAUCCCCAAGCAUCCUCC
rnacentral:tRNA from 1 species